AUGCUGGAGGUAUCAGAAGUGCGAAUGCUGACAUAAGUAACGAUAAAGCGGGUGAAAAGCCCGCUCGCCGGAAGACCAAGGGUUCCUGUCCAACGUUAAUCGGGGCAGGGUGAGUCGACCCCUAAGGCGAGGCCGAAAGGCGUAGUCGAUGGGAAACAGGUUAAUAUUCCUGUACUUGGUGUUACUGCGAAGGGGGGACGGAGAAGGCUAUGUUGGCCGGGCGACGGUUGUCCCGGUUUAAGCGUGUAGGCUGGUUUUCCAGGCAAAUCCGGAAAA
rnacentral:rRNA from 1 species